CGAGUUCCCGUACGAUCACCGAAGUUAAGCAACGUUGAGCCUUGUUAGUACCUAGUUGGGCAACCGCUUGGAAAUACCAGGUGCUGUAA
rnacentral:rRNA from 1 species